AUUGAACGCUGGCGGCAUGCCUUACACAUGCAAGUCGAACGGCAGCACGGGGCAACCUGGUGGCGAGUGGCGAACGGGUGAGUAAUGCAUCGGAACGUACCUUUCAGUGGGGGAUAACGUAGCGAAAGUUACGCUAAUACCGCAUAUUCUGUGAGCAGGAAAGCAGGGGAUCGCAAGACCUUGCGCUGAUUGAGCGGCCGAUGUCAGAUUAGCUAGUUGGUGAGGUAAAGGCUCACCAAGGCGACGAUCUGUAGCGGGUCUGAGAGGAUGAUCCGCCGAACUGGAACUGCGAGACGGUCCAGACUCCUACGGGAGGCAGCAGUGGGGAAUUUUGGACAAUGGGGGCAACCCUGAUCCAGCCAUGCCGCGUGAGUGAAGAAGGCCUUCGGGUUGUAAAGCUCUUUCGGCCGGGAAGAAAUCGCACGGGCUAAUACCCUGUGUGGAUGACGGUACCGGAAUAAGAAGCACCGGCUAACUACGUGCCAGCCGCCGCGGUAACAC
rnacentral:rRNA from 1 species